GACGAACGCUGGCGGCGUGCCUAAUACAUGCAAGUCGAACGCACUCUCGUUUAGAUUGAAGGAGCUUGCUCCUGAUUGAUAAACAUUUGAGUGAGUGGCGGACGGGUGAGUAACACGUGGGUAACCUGCCCUAAAGUGGGGGAUAACAUUUGGAAACAGAUGCUAAUACCGCAUAAAACCUAACACCGCAUGGUGUAGGGUUGAAAGAUGGUUUCGGCUAUCACUUUAGGAUGGACCCGCGGUGCAUUAGUAGUUGGUGAGGUAAAGGCUCACCAAGACCGUGAUGCAUAGCCGACCUGAGAGGGUAAUCGGCCACACUGGGACUGAGACACGGCCCAGACUCCUACGGAGGCAGCAGUAGGGAAUCUUCCACAAUGGACGAAAGUCUGAUGAGCAACGCCGCGUGACGUGAAGAAGGUUUUACGGAUCGUAAAACUCUGUUAGUUGGAGAAGAAUGUAUCUGAUAGUAACU
rnacentral:rRNA from 1 species